UGCCCAGCAACUCCUAUCCCUACCUCCUCGCGGUACUGGCCGGGGUACGAGUAACCUUAGGGAAGAUCGGGUAACCAACCAACAAUCGGGAACUUUGGUCGUAUGCUGACAAAGUGAG
rnacentral:ribozyme from 1 species